CAGAGGUUACUGCURKCKRGAUUCGACUAAGCCAUGCGAGUUGAAUGUUCUUCGUGAACAUGGCGGACUGCUCAGUAACACGUGGACAACCUACCCUUGGGUCCGGCAUAAUCCUGGGAAACUGGGAAUAAUUCCGGAUAGGUCACCGAUGCUGGAAUGCGCGGUGGCCGAAAGCUCCGGCGCCCGAGGAUGGGUCUGCGGCCUAUCAGGGUUGUAGUGGGUGUAACGUACCUACUAGCCUACGACGGGUACGGGUUGUGAGAGCAAGAGCCCGGAGAUGGAUUCUGAGACACGAAUCCAGGCCCUACGGGGUGCAGCAGGCGCGAAAACUUUACAAUGCGGGAAACCGUGAUAAGGGGAUCUCGAGUGCCAGCAUAUAAUGUUGGCUGUCCAGAUGCCUAAAAAGCAUCUGUUAGCAAGGGCCGGGCAAGACCGGUGCCAGCCGCCGCGGUAACACCGGCGGCCCGAGUGGUAACCGCUAUUAUUGGGUCUAAAGGGUCUGUAGCCGGCCAGGUAAGUCCCUUGGGAAAUCUGGCAGCUCAACUGUCAGGCUGCUAGGGGAUACUGUUUGGCUUGGGACCGGGAGAGGUGAGAGGUACCUUGGGGGUAGGGGUGAAAUCUUGUGAUCCUCGAGGGACCACCAGUGGCGAAGGCGUCUCACCAGAACGGGUCCGACGGUAAGGGACGAAAGCUAGGGGCACGAACCGGAUUAGAUACCCGGGUAGUCCUAGCCGUAAACGAUGCUCGCUAGGUGUCAGUCACGGUGCGACCGUGAUUGGUGCCGUAGGGAAGCCGUGAAGCGAGCCACCUGGGAAGUAUGGCCGCAAGGCUGAAACUUAAAGGAAUUGGCGGGGGAGCACUACAWCGGGUGGAGCCUGCGGUUUAUUG
rnacentral:rRNA from 1 species